UUUUGUGAGGAUGUGAGCGACCAAAGCUAUCCGGAAGUCAACAUCGACAUGCCUUUCAACUAAGCUUUAACACCAAUUUACGUUGUCUAUAAGUGUCUAUGUGACAGUUUUGGUGUUCAGCUAGCAAUUUGCAGUCAUGGCCACCAAUGUGCAGAUAAAAGGCAAAGCUUCAAAGUUUGACUGUCUCAUCUGUAGCAGGAAUCUGUCUUCAAGGCAGUGACUUGAGACACAUAUGCAGGCAAAUCAUAACAGAAGUUCAGUGGAGUCUAGCUACAAAUGCAAACACUUUUUGAACAGGAUGCUUAAGUGUAGAAGCAAGUGGUCAACAGCAAAAGAAAUGGUGUCUUGUAAAGUUGCAGGAAGACUCUUACCAGUCUCACCAGAUGAAUGCUGUGAAGGUCUUCUGCAGUCAACAAACUCAACUUCUGCAUUGGAUUUAAAAAAGUGUUUUCGUGUUGAAAUUAAUGGACAAAAGUACUUCAGUCAGGCAUAUCAGCGAAUGAAAAAAAGAACUUGUUAUUUUGUGGUUUGUCAUUCAGGUGAAGUAGUUUCAGUCAAGUUUUUUGUUGUUAACAAAGAAAAGAAAGUGUUUGCUGUCGUGAAAGUAUAUGAAAUACCUGAUGACUGUUACAUCCUUAGAUCUAGUGGCAGACAUAUAUUUAAAGUUGUAUCAACUGAAUGUCUGAAAACAAUUCAUGUGUCUGAGAUCAUGGAUAAACUUUUCUAUAUAGCUAUGCUGUAUAUGUUGUAUGUAUGCCGAACAUUCUAGGCAGAAGUGUGUUUGAGUAAAGUACAAACAGUCCACACAAAUGCCCCCCUAUCCAGUGGUUAGACCAAUAAAAUACUUUUCAUUAAAAAGAGUACUCUAGCAAAUUAGUAUUGAUUAGUGUAUUUCAGAAAAUAACCGGACAAUAUAUAUGGUUAUAAUUAGUCCCCUACUGUGAAACCGGAAGAAACUAUAGGUUUACCGUCCGUCUGUCCAUCUGUCCAUCAGCGAAAAAGAAGUGGAUUAUGCGAUUACUCAAAAAGUAUAUAAGCUAAGUUCAUGAAACUUGGUGUGUAGUUACAGGACGAUAUGUAGAUUAUGCACAUCAUUUUAUUUUUUCAGUCGGACUAAAAUUAUUGGUUGCUAUGAUAACAGAAAUUCCGUCUGUCCUUCAGCGAAAAAAAGUGGAUUACGCGAUUACUCAUAAAAAAGGGUCCUAGCAGUAUCUAUGACAGCACAGGCCCAAAUCAGCCUUUGGGGCACAAGAUACAUAUGUACAGUUCAUGAGAUAAAAUUUUAACGCUUUUGUAUGCUACACAUUUAUAUGAUCAUGCUUAAAUCUGCACAUACAGUUAUUACAAUAAAAAUUAUCUCAAAGCA